GACGGAGGAUGCAAGCGUUAAUCGGAAUUACUGGGCGUAAAGCGCACGCAGGUGGCUGAGUCAGUCGAUUGUGAAAGCCCUGGGCUAAACCUGGGAAUUGCAGUCGAUACUACUCAGCUAGAGUAUGGGAGAGGGUAGUGGAAUUCCCGGUGUAGCGGUGAAAUGCGUAGAUAUUGGGAGGAACACCAGUGGCGAAGGCGGCUCACUGGACCGGAACUGACGCUGAGGCGCGAAAGCGUGGGGAGCAAACAGG
rnacentral:rRNA from 1 species